rnacentral:rRNA from 1 species
GCACAAGCGGUGGAGCAUGUGGUUAAUUCGAAGCAACGCGAAGAACCUUACCAGGUCUUGACAUCCCGAUGCUAUUUCUAGAGAUAGAAAGUUACUUCGGUACAUCGGUGACAGGUGGUGCAUGGUUGUCGUCAGCUCGUGUCGUGAGAUGUUGGGUUAAGUCCCGCAACGAGCGCGACCCCUAUUGUUAGUUGCCAUCAUUCAGUUGGGCACUCUAGCGAGACUGCCGGUAAUAAACCGGAGGAAGGUGGGGAUGACGUCAAAUCAUCAUGCCCCUUAUGACCUGGGCUACACACGUGCUACAAUGGUUGGUACAACGAGUUGCGAGUCGGUGACGGCGAGCUAAUCUCUUAAAGCCAAUCUCAGUUCGGAUUGUAGGCUGCAACUCGCCUACAUGAAGUCGGAAUCGCCAGUAAUCGCGGAUCAGCACGCCGCGGUGAAUACGUUCCCGGGCCUU